GCCAGACUCCUACGGGAGGCAGCAGUGGGGAAUAUUGCACAAUGGGGGGAACCCUGAUGCAGCGACGCCGCGUGGGUGAAGGAGCGUUUCGGCGCGUAAAGCCCUAUCGGCAGGGAAGAAGGAGGACGGUACCUGACUAAGAAGCCCCGGCUAACUACGUGCCAGCAGCCGCGGUAAUACGUAGGGGGCAAGCGUUAUCCGGAUUUACUGGGUGUAAAGGGGGCGCAGACGGCAGCGCAAGCCAGGAGUGAAAGCCCGGGGCCCAACCCCGGGACUGCUCUUGGAACUGCGCGGCUGGAGUGCAGGAGGGGCAGGCGGAAUUCCUGGUGUAGCGGUGAAAUGCGUAGAUAUCAGGAGGAACACCGGUGGCGAAGGCGGCCUGCUGGACUGCGACUGACGUUGAGGCCCGAAAGCGUGGGGAGCAAACAGGAUUAGAUACCCCCGUAUA
rnacentral:rRNA from 1 species